CUAUAACGGUCCUAAGGUAGCGAAAUUCCUUGUCGGGUAAGUUCCGACCUGCACGAAUGGCGUAACGACUUCCCCGCUGUCUCCAACAUAGACUCAGCGAAAUUGAAUUGCCUGUCAAGAUGCAGGCUUCCCGCGGUUAGACGGAAAGACCCCGUGCACCUUUACUAUACCUAAACAUUGAAGAACUCACGAUCAUGUGUAGCAUAAGUGGGAGUUGACGAUCCCUUUGCGCAAGCAAAUUGGGGAGACCAAAGUGAAAUACCACUCUUGAUCUUGAGAACUUCUCACCUCAGGACAGUGUUUAGCGGGUAGUUUGACUGGGGCGGUCGCCUCCUAAAGAGUAACGGAGGCGUACAAAGGUAGGUUUGCGUAGGUCAACAAUCUACGUGUAAGCGUAAUGGUACAAGCCUGCUUGACUGCAAGAGCGACAGCUCGAACAGGAACGAAAGUUGGUCAUAGUGAUCCGGUGAUUUUGCGUGGAAAAAUCAUCGCUCAACGAAUAAAAGGUACGCCGGGGAUAACAGGCUGAUGACUCCCUAGAGCUCCUAUCGACGGAGUCGUUUGGCACCUCGAUGUCGGCUCAUCACAUCCUGGAGCUGAAGAAGGUUCCAAGGGUUCGGCUGUUCGCCGAUUAAAGUGGUACGCGAGCUGGGUUUAGAACGUCGUGAGACAGUUUGGUCCCUAUCUACUGUGGAUGUAUGAAAAUUGAGAGGCCUAGACCUUAGUACGAGAGGACCAGGAAAAGUAAACCUCUGGUGUACCGGUUGUUCUUUCUUAGAGCAUCGCCGGGUAGCUAAGUUUAUGCAUGAUAAUCACUGAAACCAUCUAAGUGAGAAACUGCACUCAAAACUAAUUUUCAAACAAGACAUGUGGCAGACGACCACAUACAGAUAGGCCUUAUGUGGACGCCGUGUAAGCGGUGAAGCUAAAAGGUACUAAAGAGUCG
rnacentral:rRNA from 11 species